rnacentral:rRNA from 1 species
CGUAACUAUAACGGUCCUAAGGUAGCGAAAUUCCUUGUCGGGUAAGUUCCGACCUGCACGAAUGGCGUAAUGAUGGCCAGGCUGUCUCCACCCGAGACUCAGUGAAAUUGAACUCGCUGUGAAGAUGCAGUGUACCCGCGGCAAGACGGAAAGACCCCGUGAACCUUUACUAUAGCUUGACACUGAACAUUGAGCCUUGAUGUGUAGGAUAGGUGGGAGGCUUUGAAGUGUGGACGCCAGUCUGCAUGGAGCCGACCUUGAAAUACCACCCUUUAAUGUUUGAUGUUCUAACGUUGACCCGUAAUCCGGGUUGCGGACAGUGUCUGGUGGGUAGUUUGACUGGGGCGGUCUCCUCCUAAAGAGUAACGGAGGAGCACGAAGGUUGGCUAAUCCUGGUCGGACAUCAGGAGGUUAGUGCAAUGGCAUAAGCCAGCUUGACUGCGAGCGUGACGGCGCGAGCAGGUGCGAAAGCAGGUCAUAGUGAUCCGGUGGUUCUGAAUGGAAGGGCCAUCGCUCAACGGAUAAAAGGUACUCCGGGGAUAACAGGCUGAUACCGCCCAAGAGUUCAUAUCGACGGCGGUGUUUGGCACCUCGAUGUCGGCUCAUCACAUCCUGGGGCUGAAGUAGGUCCCAAGGGUAUGGCUGUUCGCCAUUUAAAGUGGUACGCGAGCUGGGUUUAGAACGUCGUGAGACAGUUCGGUCCCUAUCUGCCGUGGGCGCUGGAGAACUGAGGGGGGCUGCUCCUAGUACGAGAGGACCGGAGUGGACGCAUCACUGGUGUUCGGGUUGUCAUGCCAAUGGCACUGCCCGGUAGCUAAAUGCGGAAGAGAUAAGUGCUGAAAGCAUCUAAGCACGAAACUUGCCCCGAGAUGAGUUCUCCCUGACUCCUUGAGAGUCCUGAAGGAACGUUGAAGACGACGACGUUGAUAGGCCGGGUGUGUAAGCGCAGCGAUGCGUUGAGCUAACCGGUACUAAUGAACCGUGAGGCUUAACCUU